rnacentral:rRNA from 1 species
AUGGGCCGCCGGAAAAACUGCAAAGCUAGGGAGUGGGAGAGGUAGACGGUACUCGGUAGGAAGGGGUAAAAUCCUUUGAUCUAUCGAUGACCACCUGUGGCGAAGGCGGUCUACCAGAACACGUUCGACGGUGAGGGAUGAAAGCUGGGGGAGCAAACCGGAUUAGAUACCCGGGUAGUCCCAGCUGUAAACGAUGCAGACUCGGUGAUGCACUGGCUUGUGGCCAGUGCAGUGCCGCAGGGAAGCCGUUAGGUUUGCCGCCUGGGAAGUACGUACGCAAGUAUGAAACUUAAAGGAAUUGGCGGGGGAGCACCACAAGGGGUGAAGCCUGCGGUUCAAUUGGAGUCAACGCCAGAAAUCUUACCCGAGGAGACAGCAGAAUGAAGGUCAAGCUGGAGACUUUACCAGACAAGCUGAGAAGUGGUGCAUGGCCGUCGCCAGCUCGUGCCGUGAGAUGUCCUGUUAAGUCAGGUAACGAGCGAGAUCCCUGCCUCUAGUUGCCACCAUUACUCUCAGGAGUAGUGGGGCGAAUUAGCGGGACCGCCACAGUUAAUGUGGAGGAAGGAAGGGGCCACG